UGGAAGUAAAAGUCGUAACAAGGUCUCCGUUGGUGAACCAGCGGAGGGAUCAUUACCGAGUUUACAACUCCCAAACCCAAUGUGAACGUUACCAAACUGUUGCCUCGGCGGGAUCUCUGCCCCGGGUGCGUCGCAGCCCCGGACCAAGGCGCCCGCCGGAGGACCAACCAAAACUCUUUUGUAUACCCCCUCGCGGGUUUUUAUAUCUGAGCCAUCUCGGCGCCUCUCGUAGGCGUUUCGAAAAUGAAUCAAAACUUUCAACAACGGAUCUCUUGGUUCUGGCAUCGAUGAAGAACGCAGCGAAAUGCGAUAAGUAAUGUGAAUUGCAGAAUUCAGUGAAUCAUCGAAUCUUUGAACGCACAUUGCGCCCGCCAGUAUUCUGGCGGGCAUGCCUGUCCGAGCGUCAUUUCAACCCUCGAACCCCUCCGGGGGGUCGGCGUUGGGGAUCGGCCCUUUACGGGGCCGGCCCCGAAAUACAGUGGCGGUCUCGCCGCAGCCUCUCCUGCGCAGUAGUUUGCACACUCGCAUCGGGAGCGCGGCGCGUCCAUUGCCGUAAAACACCCAACUUUCUGAAAUGUUGACCUCGGAUCAGGUAGGAAUACCCGCUGAACUUAAGCAUAUCAAUAAGCGGAGGA
rnacentral:rRNA from 1 species